GAAUAUGUUAGUUACUGUUAAACAGACUGAGCGUUUCAUUUUUUGUUUACGUUAUAUAUUUAAUACUGAAGUCUCACUACAAGAAUUUAUGGCAUUAGUGGGGACAGCAUUAGUGGCGACAUCCUAUAUGUCGCCGCUAAUGCUUAUAAUCCGUGUGCUCAUUACCUGAGUUGAUUUUGGCCGUUAUGACUUGAUGAAUCUAAGAGCUGACCAUUAUUCAUCCCCAAUUUCAUUUCCCUCCAAACAAGAUUGUCCCCAAUUAUUCAUUCCCCCCAAAACAAACCCUUCAUUGUCCCCAAUUUCUCUCCAAUCUGCAACCAUAUGAAGCCCCGCAUCUCCGACCACUUCCAGGCUACCUCCGUAUCUCCCACCACCUUCCGGCCACCUCCGCAUCUCCAACCAUCAUCAAUGUCUGACCCCACCUCCCGACCACUUCUGUGACGUCCGACCCCACUCCAACCACCGGCGACCCAACACCGACCAUCUUUGUCUGCAGGUUCCGACCAACUAUGGUGCUACGAGUGGAGGGGAGCAGAAGUUCAACAAGAUAUUUACGCUGCAAGAAUGUUUCACGCCAAGUGGACUGCUGGCCAAACACAUUUAGUAUGCUAACAGGCUUGCAUCUUGUUUGGCAAUUAAGGUAAUCUAUAUUCUAUAUUAGGGUACACUCCAUGGAAGAUGGGGCAUGGCUGGGUCUGAAUGAAGCCCUACAUCUUUUUUUCUCAUUGCUGCUCACACUGUGUUGAGUUUGUAUAACCACUUAGUACCUUACUACUUUAGCUUCUCAUAACAACUUUUAAUUCUCAUAACACUGUGUGUUGAGUUUGUAUAAACAAACUGUUAUGUAAUUUUUGGUUGUUUGAAUGUGAAUUAGUGUUUAAUUCUUUGUA